GGCUCUUUUAGAGUCCGAGUUGUAAUUUGCAGAGGGCGCUUUGGCUUUGGCAGCGGUCCAAGUUCCUUGGAACAGGACGUCACAGAGGGUGAGAAUCCCGUACGUGGUCGCUAGCUAUUGCCGUGUAAAGCCCCUUCGACGAGUCGAGUUGUUUGGGAAUGCAGCUCUAAAUGGGAGGUAAAUUUCUUCUAAAGCUAAAUAUUGGCCAGAGACCGAUAGCGCACAAGUAGAGUGAUCGAAAGAUGAAAAGCACUUUGGAAAGAGAGUCAAACAGCACGUGAAAUUGUUGAAAGGGAAGCGCUUGCAGCCAGACUUGCUUGCAGUUGCUCAUCCGGGCUUUUGCCCGGUGCACUCUUCUGCAGGCAGGCCAGCAUCAGUUUGGGCGGUGGGAUAAAGGUCUCUGUCAUGUACCUCUCUUCGGGGAGGCCUUAUAGGGGAGGCGACAUACCACCAGCCUAGACUGAGGUCCGCGCAUCUGCUAGGAUGCUGGCGUAAUGGCUGUAAGCGGCCCGUCUUGAAACACGGACCAAGGAGUCUAACAUCUAUGCGAGUGUUUGGGUGUCAAGCCCGAGCGCGUAAUGAAAGUGAACGGAGGUGGGAACCCGCAAGGGUGCACCAUCGACCGAUCCUGAAGUUUACGGAAGGAUUUGAGUAAGAGCAUGGCUGUUGGGACCCGAAAGAUGGUGAACUAUGCUUGAAUAGGGUGAAGCCAGAGGAAACUCUGGUGGAGGCUCGCAGCGGUUCUGACGUGCAAAUCGAUCGUCAAAUUUGGGCAUAGGGGCGAAAGACUAAUCGAACUAUCUAG
rnacentral:rRNA from 1 species